GGGUGAUCGAAAGAUUAAAUUGCAUUGUAACUUAUCAUGGAAGGAUAAUUUUGAUAUUUUUAUCAAAUUUUAAAUCUUUUGAAUAGUUAUGACACAUUACUAGAUAUUAAUCUUGACUUGUAGACUUGACAGAAUUAAAAAAUUUUAAUUUUAGAAUCAAUUAGGAAGAGUCCUAGUUGAUUGGGACUCUUGAGCUGACCUAAUCCAAUUGGAUUAGGAUUUCAUCGAC
rnacentral:lncRNA from 1 species